GAAGGGGAGCUAGCGUUGUUCGGAAUCACUGGGCGUAAAGCGCACGUAGGCGGAUUUGUUAGUCAGGGGGGUGAAAUCCCGGGGGCUCAACCUCGGAACUGCCUUUGAUACUGCAAGUCUGGAGUCCGGAAGAGGUGGGUGGAAUUCCUAGUGUAGAGGUGAAAUUCUUAGAUAUUAGGAAGAACACCGGUGGCGAAGGCGGCCCACUGGUCCGGUACUGACGCUGAGGUGCGAAAGCGCGGGGAGCAAACAGGAUUAGAUACCCUGGUAGUCCACGCCGUAAACGAUGGAUGCUAGCCGUCGGCAAGCUUGCUUGUCGGUGGCGCAGCUAACGCAUUAAGCAUCCCGCCUGGGGAGUACGGCCGCAAGGUUA
rnacentral:rRNA from 1 species